GGGGGCGUCAGGGUUCGACGGGACACGCUUGACGCUCAGUUGCGAGUCGAGGCGCCGCUGGCCUCGUAAAAAAGCGGCACACAAGAAGUGCGAACACUAACUAUGCUCUCGCUGCCUAAUUAGCAGCGCGCCGCUCGCCUUGCGGUCGAUCCGAGGCGAGCCGAGCGUGGGCUAGAUCGACUGACUCUCGAAGCUGCGCUUCGGGCUGAGAGAGGACAACCUACGAAGCUGGCGUGGGCACGCCCUGCCUUUCGGGACAGUCCACGCGAGAUCCAAAGAAAGGCUACGCUCGUAGACGCUGAGUGUGCAACGGUCUCGGAAGGGGGUUCAAUUCCCCCCGCCUCCACCA
rnacentral:tmRNA from 1 species